rnacentral:lncRNA from 1 species
AUUUGGUUAGGAUUUGAUUUAGGAUUAGGGUUUGGUUUAGGAUUUAAGAUUUGGUUGGGUUUUGAUUUAGGAUUAGAGUUUGGUUUAUGGUUUAGGAUUUAGUUAGGAUUUGAUUUAGGAUUUAGGAUUUGAUUAGGGUUUGAUUUAGGAUUAGGAUUUAGUUUAGGAUUUAGGAUUUGGUUGGAUUUUGAUUUAGGAUUAGAGUUUGGUUUAUGGUUUAGGGUUUGGUUAGGAUUUGAUUUAGGAUUAGGAUUUGAUUAGAAUUUGAUUCAGAGUUAAGAUUUGGUUAGGGUUUGAUUUAAGAUUAGGAUUUGAUUUAGGAUUUGAUUUAGAGUUAGGAUUUGGUUAGGAUUUGGCUUAGGAUUUAGGGUUUGAUUUAGGAUAAGUUAGGAUUUGAUUUAGGAUUAGGAUUUAGUUUAAGAUUUAGGAUUUAGUUAUGGUUUGAUUUAAGAUUAGGAUUUAGUUUAAGAUUUAGGAUUUAGUUAUGGUUUGAUUUAGGAUUAGGAUUUGAUUAGAAUUUGAUUUAGGAUUUAGGAUUUGAUUUAAGAUUUAGGAUUUAUUUAUGAUUUGAUUUAGGAUUAGGAUUUAAUUAGGAUUUGAUUUAGGAUUUAGGAUUUGAUUUAGAAUUGAUUAGGAUUUGAUUUAGGAUUUUAUUUGAGUUUGUUUAAGAUUUAUGAUUUAGUUAAUUUUUGGCCUAAAGUUUGAUUGAAGUCCAAUACGAUUUUAACUAGGAUUAAGUUAAGAUUGAAUUGAGAUGUAUUUGAGAUAUAUUUGUGAUCAUUCUAAUAUUUCUUUAAGAUUUUUUUAUUGUCUCUUUGUAAUUCCUUUGAGGUUUCUUUGAAUUUGAUUAAAGCUUGCUUAGCAUUAUUAUGGUCUAAUUAUAAUUUAGUUAAUAUUCUAUUAGAAUUAGGAUUUUGUUGUUGCAAUUUCUAUUCUAUCUUCCACAGCCAUGUGCUCAAAGCAUUCUCAAGCAAGAUUUCAUGUAUUAUGACACUAAAGUCUAUG